CGCAGCUUCGUCAAAUUCAGUCCCGCCCACUAAAUGGCGGUCACUGGCCAAUGGGCUGCUACAGUAAUCCUGUAGGUCAUGGGCCUCACCUUCUCGCUGGUAGAAUGUGGGGAUAAAUUGCACUACAGACAGUC